GACCGCGUAGCUCAGUUGGAAGAGCAUUGGGCUAGUAUUCCAAAGGUCGUGGGUUCGAAUCCCACCGUGGCCG
rnacentral:tRNA from 1 species